AUGCUCUCCUUGGCAGCACAUAUACUAAAAUUGGGAUGCUACGGAGAAGAUUAGCAUGGCCCGUGCGCAAGGAUGACACACAAACUCAUGAAGCGUUCAAUAUCUAU
rfam:Myotis brandtii contig243302, whole genome shotgun sequence.